rnacentral:rRNA from 1 species
GAUGAACGCUGGCGGCGUGCCUAAUACAUGCAAGUCGAGCGAACAGACGAGAGUGCUUGCACUCUCUGACGUUAGCGGCGGACGGGUGAGUAACACGUGGGUAACCUACCUAUAAGACUGGGAUAACUUCGGGAAACCGGAGCUAAUACCGGAUAAUAUUUAGCUUCGCAUGAAGCAAUAGUGAAAGACGGUUCUGCUGUCACUUAUAGAUGGACCCGCGGUGUAUUAGCUAGUUGGUGAGGUAACGGCUCACCAAGGCAACGAUACAUAGCCGACCUGAGAGGGUGAUCGGCCACACUGGGACUGAGACACGGCCCAGACUCCUACGGGAGGCAGCAGUAGGGAAUCUUCCGCAAUGGACGAAAGUCUGACGGAGCAAUGCCGCGUGAGUGAAGAAGGUUUUUGGAUCGUAAAACUCUGUUGUAAGGGAAGAACAAGUACGUUAGUAACUGAACGUACCUUGACGGUACCUUACCAGAAAGCCACGGCUAACUACGUG